rnacentral:rRNA from 1 species
AACGUAGGAGACAAACGUUAUCCGGAGUUACUGGGCGUAAAGGGCGUGUAGGCGGUUUGUUAAGUCUGGCGUGAAAGCUCUCGGCUAAACCGGGAGAGGUCGUUGGAUACUGGCAAACUAGAGGACGGUAGAGGCGUGUGGAGUUCCGGGUGUAGUGGUGAAAUGCGUAGAGAUCCGGAGGAACACCAGUGGCGAAGGCGACACGCUGGGCCGUACCUGACGCUAAAGCGCGACAGCAUGGGGAGCAAACGGG